rnacentral:rRNA from 1 species
CCAGACUCCUACGGGGGGCAGCAGUGAGGAAUAUUGGUCAAUGGGCGUGAGCCUGAACCAGCCAAGUAGCGUGCAGGAUGACGGCCCUAUGGGUUGUAAACUGCUUUUAUACGGGGAUAAAAGGGUGAACGUGUUCUCCUUUGCAGGUACCGUAUGAAUAAGGACCGGCUAAUUCCGUGCCAGCAGCCGCGGUAAUACGGAAGGUCCUGGCGUUAUCCGGAUUUAUUGGGUUUAAAGGGAGCGCAGGCUGCACUUUAAGCGUGUUGUGAAAUGUACCGGCUCAACCGGUAACGUGCAGCGCGAACUGGGGUGCUUGAGUACGAAGAGGGAAGGCGGAACUCGUGGUGUAGCGGUGAAAUGCUUAGAUAUCACGAGGAACUCCGAUCGCGAAGGCAGCUUUCCGUUUCGGAACUGACGCUGAGGCUCGAAAGUGCGGGUAUCGAACAGGAUUAGAUACCCUGGUAGUCCGCACGGUAAACGAUGGAUGCUCGCUGUUGGAUAUUUUUAUUCAGUGGCUAAGUGAAAACGUUAAGCAUCCCACCUGGGGAGUACGCCGGCAACGGUGAAACUCAAAGGAAUUGACGGGGGCCCGCACAAG